rnacentral:tRNA from 1 species
GCCUUGGUGGUGUAACUGAAAGUACGUCCGGCUAGCAAUCGGGAAGUUCGAAGUUCGAGUCCCGGCUGGGGCA